rnacentral:rRNA from 1 species
UACGUAGGGUGCGAGCGUUGUCCGGAAUUAUUGGGCGUAAAGAGCUCGUAGGCGGCUUGUCACGUCGGAUGUGAAAGCCCGGGGCUUAACUCCGGGUCUGCAUUCGAUACGGGCAGGCUAGAGUUCGGUAGGGGAGAUCGGAAUUCCUGGUGUAGCGGUGAAAUGACGCAGAGUAUCAGGAGGAACACCGGUGGCGAAGGCGGAUCUCUGGGCCGAUACUGACGCUGAGGAGCGAAAGCGUGGGGAGCGAACAGG